AUAGUGUUGGCGGGAGGGCUAAACAUGCAAGUCGAGCGGCAACUAGUUAACUGAACCUUCGGGUUACGAUACAGCGUGGUCGAGUGCCGGUGGGUGAGUAAUGCCUGGGAAAUUGCCCUGAUGUGGGGGAUAACCAUUGGAAACGAUGGCUAAUACCGCAUAAUAGCUUCGGCUCAAAGAGGGGGACCUUCGGGCCUCUCGCGUCAGGCUAUGCCCAGGUGGGAUUAGCUAGUUGGUGAGGUAAGGGCUCACCAGGGCGACGAUCCCUAGCUGGUCUGAGAGGGUGAUCAGCCACACUGGAUCUGAGACACGGUCCAGACUCCUACGGGAGGCAGCCGUGGUGAAUAUUGCACACUGGGCGCACGCCUGAUGCAGCCAUGCGGCGUGUAUGAAGAAGGCCUUCGGGUUGUAAAGUACUUUCAGCAGUGAGGAAGGUGGUAGUGUUAAUAGCACUAUCAUUUGACGUUAGCUGCAGAAGAAGCACCGGCUAACUCCGUGCCAGCAGCCGCGGUAAUACGGAGUGUGCGAGCGUUAAUCGGAAUUACUGUGCGUAAAGCGCAUGCAGGUGGUUUGUUAAGUCAGAUGUGAAAGCCCGUGGCUCAGCCCUCGGAAUUGCAUUUGAAACUGGAACGACUAGAGUACUGUAGAGGGGCGUAGAAUUUCAGGUGUCGCGGUGAAAUGCGUAGAGAUCUGAAGGAAUAUCGGUGGCGAAGGCGGCCCCCUGGAUAGAUACUGACACUCAGACGCGAAAGCGUGGUCAGCACACUGAAUUAGAUACCCGUGUUAGUCCAUCGCCGUAAACGAUGUACUACUUGCGAGGAUUGUGGCUUUGAGCAGGGACUUUUACGGGAGCUAACCGCCGUUAAAGUAGACCGCCUUGGGGGAGUACGGGUCGCUAGAUUAAAACUCAAUAUAUUU
rnacentral:rRNA from 1 species